GGAGGGAGGCUGCGGACGAGGGCGGGGAGGAGUUUGCGAUGGGAGGCGCCUGCAGGGGCUCCCCCAGUUCUGCGCUGUGAGCCGGGGCACAAAGAGCUCUCUGCACUGGCGCCGCAAGACCGCGGACCCGAGGACUCAAAUGCUAGAUGUCCGGUGUCCAGAGGGAUGCAGAGGGCCGGAAAACCUCUUCACUGAGAAGAAUAAUGGUAUCGAUAAUGAUAAUAAUACAUCAGGUCGUGGAGAACUCUCUGCCAGCAGCAGCUUAGUGCUUUGUAUGCAUAUUCACAGCAGUCCCCGGAGGUGCCGGAGGCAUCUCCCUGCCUAACCUGUGUGGUUCCAGACAUUCACGUGGCCGCCGCGACCCCACCAGCAUCAAAGGAGUAACCAAGAGUGCAAGCAAGUUUCUGAGACAGAGGAGAAGGAAGGGAAUUUCCGGGUUUUUGGAGAUGUUCAGGACCACACUGGGAAGCAGCCUUGCAGAUAAGUAUUCCAGCUUCCCAGCCCACAGCCUACCAGCCUGCCCUCUCCUGCCCUCUACUGGUCUGUGGAGCAAAGUACAGCAUCCCUGAAUCCCUGAAUCCCCGAAUCCAGGGAGAAAUCAGCGCUCCAGCUCAUUCGCUUUCCUAUCCCUAAGAUACAAUGAAAAAGCUUGUCCCCAUUUUGUGGGGCCCCAGAGAGUAAUUUUCCUACCCUACUUUUGACAUCAAGGCUAGUAUUUUACAAACUCCACCCUCAGGGACUUCUGGGGAGCUGAGUUGAGUAGCUUCAUCUUGAGCACCUGUAGAUCUGGUGUCAGGAGGAGCCUGGGGACUCCUGGUGAUUUGGGCUGGCCCUCCCCUUAUUGGUUCUUGUCCUCUGUCAUCAUAUUUAUAAAACUUGGCUGGGUCUCCUUUUCUGCCUGGCAGUCAAGUGGGGACCUCGGCACUGUGACCCCAGGGCGCAUGCUUCUUGGUUUAAGGGUCUGAGCACGUCUCCAGCUCUGGGCCCGGGCCCCCAAGUCCAAGUGCUGACAGCAGGCUCUGAAGAUACGGUGAACGGGCUCAGGCCUGCCCGUGGAUGAAGAUAACUCUGCUGCUGUUUGCUGUUUAGUCCCUAAGUCAUGUCUGACUCUUCGCCAUCCCAUGGACUGUAACUCCUCUGUCCAUGGGAUUUCCCA